rnacentral:rRNA from 1 species
CCUACGGGAGGCAGCAGUGGGGAAUAUUGGACAAUGGGCGAAAGCCUGAUCCAGCCAUGCCGCGUGUGUGAAGAAGGCCUUCGGGUUGUAAAGCACUUUCAGUGGGGAAGAAAGCCUUGGGGCUAAUACCCUCGAGGAAGGACAUCACCAACAGAAGAAGCACCGGCUAACUCCGUGCCAGCAGCCGCGGUAAUACGGAGGGUGCGAGCGUUAAUCGGAAUUACUGGGCGUAAAGCGCGCGUAGGCGGUCUGAUAAGCCGGUUGUGAAAGCCCCGGGCUCAACCUGGGAACGGCAUCCGGAACUGUCAGGCUAGAGUGCAGGAGAGGAAGGUAGAAUUCCCGGUGUAGCAGUGAAAUGCUUAGAGAUCGGGAGGAAUACCAGUGGCGAAGGCGGCCUUCUGGACUGACACUGACGCUGAGGUGCGAAAGCGUGGGUAGCAAACAGGAUUAGAUACCCUAGUAGUC